AGGUUUUAGAUAUUGUGGGCAGUGACGUGAUCCUUGUAUCCCAAUUAUUCUCUUGUGGUUGUUGCUAGGGUUUUGGGCAAGAGAUUGAGAUUUGUAUAUUCAUUAUUCUCAUAGUAGAUUAUCUCUAGUUUGCCCCGUGGUUUUUACCCUUCACAUUAAAGGGGUUUUCCACGUAUAUCUUGGUGUUCUGUUUGAUUGUGUUUCUAUUUUAUUCCGCUGCGUAUUAUGGUCUUCUAGUAUUUGUUCAUAUACAAAGGUUAUUCCUCUUUAUAUACCCAUCAACUGGUAUCAGAGCAGGAUUUUGGUGAUUUAAUUUUUGUAUUUGAACAUGGAGGCCAGUAAUGUUUCUCGCAUGAUUAGUUUGAAU
rnacentral:lncRNA from 1 species